UAANACUCAGNAUAGUGAGCGNCNGCCGCAUGGUGGGUGUUGGAAAGAUUUAUCGGUUUUGGAUGGACUCGCGGCCUAUCAGCUUGUUGGUGAGGUAAUGGCUCACCAAGGCGACGACGGGUAGCCGGCCUGAGAGGGUGACCGGCCACACUGGGACUGAGACACGGCCCAGACUCCUACGGGAGGCAGCAGUGGGGAAUAUUGCACAAUGGGCGCAAGCCUGAUGCAGCGACGCCGCGUGAGGGAUGACGGCCUUCGGGUUGUAAACCUCUUUCAGUAGGGAAGAAGCGAAAGUGACGGUACCUGCAGAAGAAGCACCGGCUAACUACGUGCCAGCAGCCGCGGUAAUACGUAGGGUGCGAGCGUUAUCCGGAAUUAUUG
rnacentral:rRNA from 1 species